CACAAACUGAUCGAGCCAACCCAGGCCACUUCCGGUCCCCGUCCUUUAUAGCCAGCCCUUUUCCAGCCGUCACUUCCGACCCGGCCGCCAUCUUGCCUGGAAAGGACCCGCUGCCGCUAUGUCCGUGUUCCCGGUGCUCCGCGCGCUGCUCCGCCCCCGCCUCGCGCCGCCCGCUCGCGCCCUGCACUCGUACCCGCCGGAGAGCCGCGUGGGGCCGCUGGAGACCGUCAUCGGCCUGGGAGCCUUCUUCCUGGCCUUCAUGGUGCCGUCGGGCUGGAUCCUGACCAACCUGGAGAGCUACAAGAAGCGCGACUGAGCGGGCAGGGUCUGAUCCGCGCUGGCUGCCCGGACCCUGCGGCUCGUAGGCCGCCCGGCUGGACUCCCUGGCGGGGCUCGCCCCCCGCCCCCACAUUCCACACUCGGCCCCUGGGGCUGCUAACUUAUUCCAUGGCUCCAUGUGGAGCAGCGGUGUUGCUGCCAUGGUGGGGUGACUAAAAUCUGUUACAAUAAACCCUGUUAUACACACUUA